rnacentral:rRNA from 1 species
GAUGAACGCUGGCGGCGUGCCUAAUACAUGCAAGUCGAGCGAAUGGAUUGAGAGCUUGCUCUUAUGAAGUUAGCGGCGGACGGGUGAGUAACACGUGGGUAACCUGCCCAUAAGACUGGGAUAACUCCGGGAAACCGGGGCUAAUACCGGAUAACAUUUUGAACCGCAUGGUUCGAAAUUGAAAGGCGGCUUCGGCUGUCACUUAUGGAUGGACCCGCGUCGCAUUAGCUAGUUGGUGAGGUAACGGCUCACCAAGGCAACGAUGCGUAGCCGACCUGAGAGGGUGAGCGGCCACACUGGGACUGCGACACGGCCCAGACCCCUACGGGAGGCAGCGGUAGGGAAUCUUCCGCAAAGGACGAAAGUCUGACGGAGCAACGCCGCGUGAGUGAUGAAGGCUUUCGGGUCGUAAAACUCUGUUGUUAGGGAAGAACAAGUGCUAGUUGAAUAAGCUGGCACCUUGACGGUACCUAACCAGAAAGCCACGGCUAACUACGUGCCAGCCGCCGCCGUAA